rnacentral:rRNA from 1 species
GAUGAACGCUGGCGGCGUGCCUAAUACAUGCAAGUCGAGCGAACGGACGAGAAGCUUGCUUCUCUGAUGUUAGCGGCGGACGGGUGAGUAACACGUGUAUAACCCACCUAUAAGACUGGGAUAACUUCGGGAAACCGGAGCUAAUACCGGAUAAUAUUUUGAACCGCGUGGUUCAAAAGAGAAAGACGGUCUUGCUGUCACGUAUAGAUGGAUCCCCGCUGCAUUAGCUAGUUGGUAAGUUAACGGCUUACCACGGCAACGAUGCAUAGCCGACCUGAGAGGGUGAUCGGCCACACUGGAACUGAGACACGGUCCAGACUCCUACGGGAGGCAGCAGUAGGGAAUCUUCCGCAAUGGGCGAAAGCCUGACGGAGCAACGCCGCGUGAGUGAUGAAGGUCUUCGGAUCGUAAAACUCUGUUAUUAGGGAAGAACAUAUGUGUAAGUAACUGUGCACAUCUUGACGGUACCUAAUCAGAAAGCCACGGCUAACUACGUG